GACGAACCACACGAACGUUAUUCGGAAUUACUGGGCUUAAAGGGUGCGUAGGCUGUGCGGAAAGUUGGGUGUGAAAUCCCCCGGCUCAACCGGGGAAUUGCGCCCAAAACUACCGUGCUGGAGAAAGACAGAGGUGAGCGGAACUUCGGGUGGAGCGGUGAAAUGCGUUGAUAUCCGAAGGAACACCGGUGGCGAAAGCGGCUCACUGGGUCUUUUCUGACGCUGAUGCACGAAAGCUAGGGGAGCAAACGGG
rnacentral:rRNA from 1 species